UCGUUCGACUAAUGCAGGAUAAUGAGGGUAGGUCGUGGAAAGGUUUUCGUUUCCCUACUUCCGGCGGAAAUAGACUGCGACAUUAACCGUGACAACGAUUCGAUAUCAAUGUCAACGCCAGCGCUGUAUCGUUGCUUCGGAUUGAUCUACUUGGACAGCGAAGCUUAACUUGAACUACUUUCGAUCGUCUGAAAACUUUAUUUUCGAAUGCUCGAUGAUUCGCGAGGCAGAUAUUGGCCCGACGCGAGCGUCUGGAAUUCGUUGAUCCGUUAAUGAUUUUAUUGCAAAUCGCUGCUCGGGUCAUUUCACGCGAGAAGACUAAUGAAACGACGAAAAGAGAGGAAAUGUGGAAAAUUCUGUAAAUUGCGUGUACCUGUACGCUCGACGCGUAUUAUAAUAACGCAGCCAGAAUAUAUCCCGGCGUACGGGCAACGUGUGGCAACGAAUUGCAACACUUAUAAAUAGGUGACCCAGAAUGAAAUCUGUUUAUCAUUGGUUGGCGAUUUUAUUGCUGGCAUUUGUUCCUCUAUUCCCUCAUUACCCUUUCGCGAGUGAACCGGCUCGCACUAGGCUUCGGAAAACCGAGUUAAAAUCGUCCGUUCGUUCCAAUUUCGUUCGUCCGACUCUUAGAGAAGGAGAUCCUCUCAAGGCUGUGGAGGCGCUGUCCGAGGAGAACAUCGUCCCCUACAAGAUACCUCUCGCUGAUUUGCCGCCGGUCUUCCCAGAAAAGAUCUUGACAGAGACUGUGAUCGAGCAACGGGAGGAGAUAAAGAUCGAGGAGAAGGUGUACGAAGAAGAGGCGAAACCCGAAGUGGAACCACUACCGGAGAAGCCUCAGGACGCUAAUAGCGAAGUCGUGCCGAAUCAGAAUCUCACGGACGACGAGAUUGCACAGUUGAUCCUAGAGGAGGAAGAACUUCUAACCGACAAAGGCGUUUUAGGGGUAAAUUUUAAGAAGCUCAGACCCCGAGCAACGGUAUUGAAACAAUCGAAAGUGAUCGAAGAGCUCCAGAAUCUCGCCACAGCCGAGCCUCCUUUGGUCGAACAGUUGAAACGGACCUCGGUGUUCCUAAAGAAACCCGAACGACCAGUACCGGUGCCCCGUAAGAAGCAGGAGGAACAAGAAGAGACGGAAGUCGAGUCUUACAAAGUGAUAAUAAAGAAGCAACAAAAGAGGAGUAUCACCGACCGGCUGCUGGAGAAGGGUUUGCUGAAACCCGAAGACGCGCCAAAGACUCCCGAGCCUCCGACUCCCGAGGUAAACAUGGAAAGUAACGAGUUGGGGAUGAAAAUCGAGGAAGACGAUUCGUCGAUCGUUUCGUUGAAGCAGGUCGACGAUGAUUCAUCUUCAGAACCAACCGUCAUGUGUUUCGAGUUCUCUUCUCUGUGUAUUCAACCGGAGAUCGAGAUCUGCUCGAUCCCCUCGCCUUCCCUAGAUCUUGAACCCAAGAGCGUUACGAGCUCGGAGUCGGAUAUCGUGCCAGUACAGUCGCCGAGACGCAAAGAGCCCGUAGUAACGUCGCGUCGUCCGCCGAACAAGCACAAGUUCAAACGUUUCUACACGAAGGCUCACUACUUUCGAAGGUGUCUGUUCGGGAAAAGAGGUCACGGUGAGGUUAAAAAGUCGUCCAAACCGAAGUCCUCGAUCAGAGAACGUUUCCAAGACGACAAACCGAGCAUGCUUCGCGUCGAACAGCCUCAGGAGCGUCCGCGUCGCUGUAGCCUAGAGACAUCCAGAAUCAAGGGUCGUUACCUUGAGACGUACUUGAAGCGGGAAGAUAAUUGGAUGAGACGCGUGGUCGAUGGCCUGUUCGACGAACCUAAUCUCGAUAACUUUCUCUCGAGCAAACUAUUCGGUAAAGCGGUAUCGGGCAAACGGAUCUCCGCGAGGAGAACCCGUUACGCGGAGAAGAUUCUCCUCCGUAGCGUAGAAUUUGUCGCGGUUCGUCUUCGCUCCGACCUUGAACGGUACCUCGAACAGGGUGGCUCGAUGAACGUCGUCGAUUCGUUGGCGUCCAGAUCGAAAAUCGGCAAACGUCUUUACUUCAAAGGUCGUUACUUUCAGCGUAUCUUCUGGCGAAACGUGGCUCGUUUGAUCGGCUACCUCAGGGGUGUGACUUGUCGCAAGGACUUCCGAGGCAGAGACAGAAGGAGGAGUUCGGCGAUGAUCAAGAUGAAAGGUCGCUAUCUGGAGAGAUACUUGGAAAGUACUCUGUUUGAUUUGGACGAGUUUCGCGAUCGUCGCUCGCGCGUCGUUUCGUCGAAGAGAAAAUUGUUUGUUCGAACGCGUUACGUCGAACGCAUCCUCAAAAACCAUUUCGAGUCUCUCGCUUUGAUCGUCAAAUACAUUUAUCAAAGUAUUUCCGGUUCUUCCGCCGUUAUUCCAGGAUAUGCAUCCUUGAACGUUAGCCAGAAGCCAUUAGUUUCGUCCGUCGCGAAAGACGACGAAGGUCUCUCGAGUUUGAUUCGUUCUUCCAAAGAUUUCAUCUCGACGGAGGUGUUCCAUCGCGGUAGCAGACGUUUGUCGAGAUCUUGCAGAGGCAGCACCGGUUCAGCCAACGUUUCCGGUAUUCUGAAGAACUAUCUUUUCGAUUUCAAUUGGUUCAAUAGGGAAUCGACGAAUCUGGCGGCUAACGAGAAGAAAGUCGUUCCAGACAACGAUCGCGAGGGUCGUAGAUUGUCUUUCGUGCCAACGAUUCUGUACGAGGGUCUCACGAAUCGAAUAGGGGUCGAUUUUACGCGACUGGUCGCUUACGCUUUCGUACCUUGCACCUCGAUCAUUUUGUUGUACAUGUACAAGUAAUGUAUUCGAUUCGACGAGUGUUGUUGUACGUCCACGUAUGUACACGUCCAUCAUUUUGGAUGAUAUUAAUGAUUACGAUUAUGUUUAGAUUUAAAACGACGUCACUUGUUCUAGGACAUCAUCCCUAACAGACGCUAGAUCAUCGUGGACCAUCUGUAAACGUAUAUUAAAAAAAGAAAGAAAAAGAAACAGUGUUCGUCGUUCGUAAAGUGUGUGUUGUAUCUUCUGUCUAGUGUAAUUGUAACAUGACUCUAGAGAUAGUGAUUGUACUUGUUUGGAAGGUUGUGCAGUCGAGAGAAAAUUUUUCUUUUUUCUUUUUCUAAUAAUAUUUCAUAAAAAUUGGGUCAAGUUUAAAUUCAUAUUCAAUGUAUACAUAUUUAAAACAAAUAUGAAAUAUUACAAAGUGGUCAUACAACGAGAAUUCGUAGUGUCGAUCAACGGUGUCAUUCAUAUCAGUGAGCAUGUUCGAAUGUCACGGAACGUGUUAAUCAGAAAGGAUACAACAUCUGAAUUGAUUUGUUUGAUCAAGUGACAUGCACGGCCUAACAAGUACAAAUAAUGUAGUACAAUGUUUAAAGAAAAAAAUCGAAGUGACUCAUACACGCACGUUGACUCAUUCUAGUUUAAUCAGUUUAGAAUUAAAAGUUUGGUAUCUCGCGUUAUCAUGCACGCGCAGAUCGAUGCAUGUUACACCUGUCUAUCAAUAUACUGUUCUCAUUGUCAAUGUGAUGGAUUGUCGAGAAAAUAGCCACACCGGCGCCGACCCCAGAGCCAGCUUGUCGAUCGGAUCAAGAGCUCGAUCCGUCGCAAUCUCGUCCGGAAUCGAAAGCCGA